AUUGAACGCUGGCGGCAUGCUUUACACAUGCAAGUCGAACGGCCGCGCGGGCUUCGUCCUGGCGGCGCGUUGGGAACGGGUGGGUGAUGAAUCCGAACGUGCCCAGUCGUGGGGGCUAGCACGACUACGGCCGGAUUAAUCCAGCAUCCGAUCUGAGAGUGAAAGCGGGGGUCCGAAAGGGCUCGAGCUAUUUGCUGUGCCGAUGUGGGAUUAGCUAGUUGGUUUGGUAAAGGCUUACCAAGGCGACGAUCCGUAGCUGGUCUGAGAGGCCGACCAGCCACACUGGGACUGAGACACGGCCCAGACUCCUACGGGAGGCAGCAGUGGGGAAUUUUGGACAAUGGGCGAAACCCUGAUCCAGCCAUGCCGCGUGCGUGAAGAAGGCCUUCGGGUUGUAAACCGCUUUUGUUCGGGAAGAAAACCUCUGGGCUAAUACCCCGGGGGGAUGACGGUACCGGAAGAAUAAGCACCGGCUAACUACGUG
rnacentral:rRNA from 1 species